CCCUUAGAUGUUCUGGGCCGCACGCGCGCUACACUGAUAAUGUCAACAAGCUUUACCUUGGCCGAUAGGUCUGGGCAAUCUUCGAACUAUUAUCGUGAUGGGGCUAGAUUAUUGCAACUAUUAAUCUUAAACGAGGAAUUCCUAGUAAGCGCGAGUCGUCAGCUCGCGUUGAUUACGUCCCUGCCCUUUGUACACACCGCCCGUCGCUCCUACCGAUUGGAUUGGCUGGUGAAGCGUUCGGAUUGUGGGUUCGGAGCGGUUCGCCGUUCUGGGCUUGCGAGAAGUUCGUUAAACCCUCCUAUCUAGAGGAAGGAGAAGUCGUAACA
rnacentral:rRNA from 1 species